GCAUUGGUGGUACAGUGGUGAGUAUAGCUGCCUUCCAAGCUGUUAGUCUGGGUUCAAUUCCCACCCAAUACA